CAGGGAUGACUGACUGCUUGGCCAAUCAAAGACCAGUAAUUAUUUUCACCUGUGUUAGACACACCUUUGUUCGUCUCCCCCAGACCAUUUUCAUUCGAUUCUUUUACCACGUGAGACCGUAACGUUACCCGCUUCUUCUCACGGACUCGCACCGUAACCAGAAAUAUCUACACACGGCAAGGGCUGCCGAAGGGAGAUGCCAACCGUUACCGCUUCGCGACAACAGCCCGGGAUCCGGAGAUGUCAAGAAAUAUCCUGGGUAAUCUACAAGACGACCCACGGCGUUUUAUACCGGAAUGAAACCGCACGCCGAAAUAUCUCCAAUCGGUCGGUAAAGAUGGCAAGGGCUGAGGAAGGGAGUCACAAAGACUCACUGUAACGCGGGUGCUUCACGACACGUACGCGUUCCGGGAGACGUCGGGAGAAUCUCCGGGUUCAUCUUUGAGGAGCUCGAUAUCCGCGGUGUUCAAAACAGCAGACGUACGGCAUGGUCUUCCCCAGACAUUUGACAAGAAAUGUCCGGACGUACUAAGGGAGGAGCUGGGUAAGGAAGGUGUCAGGCGCCACCGUCACUGAAGAUGCUUCGCGACAUCAGUGCAGCACCAAGACACGGAGGCGUCAAACCCUACACGUCGAAGAAGCGGAGAAGACGACGUCUCUCAACAUCUUCCAGGAUCAACUACAGCUGAAAUGUCCAUGGUGGGACUGAUCCCGAUGAGAGGUCGUCUAAUACCAAGUACAUCGUGCCUGUAUGCCGAUACCGCAGAAACAGACUGUGUGUAGACGUAGCCACUGCUCUCAGAAUGUCCUAACCCCUACCAGCAACAUUACUCGUGGUGUCAUCAGAACGUUCUCAACACCUUGCCGCCCAUCAAGAGAUCAUGAUUCUCCCCGCUGAUAAUGCUUCAGGUAGUCAGAGGAAAAAGUACAUUUCUAGGUUGCUACCCCAAGCACUUCACUAUAAAGAAUUAAAAGUGUUGAUUUUUCCUUGCAUUCCGUCGUCUUUGUUUUCCGCUGUUCAACAAAGGUAAAUGAUAUCUCUUCAGCAAAUCUUUUUAUGAUAGGCGAGCUUUGAAUGAAAGUCUUCAGACAUCCGAGUAUUGCACACAAACAUUUAAUAAGACGAGAUAAUCCUUUGUCGUAACACCAAACAAGUAUUGUCAUGCAAAUAUGUUUUCCGGAAUAUUCUUCGGAUCCUUUAAAAUAAGAGAUCUGGGCGUCAACACAUGUUAACAAACAUUAUAUCGUCUUCCAUAGACCUAUAUGUGGUAUGCACUGUCGAUGGAAAAAAAUCAGCACAAGAUAAUAUAAUAGAAAUCUCAUUGCAAUUUUUAGAAGCAUU